rnacentral:lncRNA from 1 species
CGGACUAACCAGAGGGCUGCUAAUUUAUCAGGAAAGCUAUGGACAGCAUCCAAAAAGUUACCAGAAGGCAAGUAAAAGGAUAACCUUCAAAAGGGCCUUACUUCUGAAGACUGAGUACCUAAGACUCCUUCGCCUCAUACCCAGAUCCAGAUAAGGGCUCUCAUCCCUGCUGAACCUCAUCAUGAGGUUGCUUUAUGAAAAGUGAAAACAAAGCUUCAUUGCACAGGCUUCUUCGGGAGAAAGGAGGAAGGAAUUUGCUGCCUCUGAAUAAAAGAAAAUUCUGAUCCACGUUGGCAAAAUGGAAAAAUCAAAAUGACAGAAUAGGAAUGUGGGUGUGCUCUCAUGGCGACUGGCAAAGAAGAAGCACCCCUCUGCACAGAAA